rnacentral:rRNA from 1 species
GAAGCACCGGCUAACUCCGUGCCAGCAGCCGCGGUAAAGUACGGAGGGUGCGAGUACGUUUAAGUCGGUAAAUUACGUGGGACGUAAAAGCGCAUGCAGGUUGGUUUGUUAAGUCAGAUGUAGAAACGGCCCGGGGCUACCAACCUACGGUAAUUGCUAUUUAGAAACUGGACAAACUAGAGUACUGUAGAGGGGGUAGAAUUUCAGGUGUAGCGGUGAAAUGCGUAGAGAUCUGAAGGAAUACCGGUGGCGAAGGCGGCCCCCUGGACAGAUACUGACACUCAGAUGCGAAAGCGUGGGGAGCAAACAGGAUUAGAUACCCUGGUAG